rnacentral:sRNA from 1 species
CUAAAGAAACAUAGAUCCCAAGUUAAAAUUAAAUAACAAGUCUUACAAGUUAUGAUUCAUCAAAUUAUUAUUUUUGAUUUAGAUAAGAUACAUGAGCAUAAUUUUCAUGACAAGAAAACAGAAACAUAACAAACAAAGAUAGAUGCACGGUUCUCCUGUCUUUAACCUCUCUCUAAGAUGAUAAGAACAUACAGCAACAUUAAUUAAUAAUAGCCAGAACCAGAUCUGUUUUAUUCAAGCGAUCCUCCUCACUUCCUCACCUACAAAUCAACAAACAUUUAA